rnacentral:ncRNA from 1 species
AGUCUGAGUUGUAUCAUGUUCUUUAGAAUGCGACAAAUAGUAAAAUUUGACUGAGUAGGACUAAAUCAGGCAAGGUUGAGCUCUACUGGCGUCAAGUCGUUCGUCUAACGUAGGUGCAAAGCCAAAGGGUAAAACGAACCUUCCAGCAACUGGUAUCCUUCGAAGGUGCUUUAAGCAUGGCUGGAGUUCAACUUAUUUCAUGAAGUGAAACGAAUGACCUGCAGUGGCGUCCCCCUCCUGCUAUUCUCAAAUUCGUGUGUAGAUCCGGUAGUUACUUUAUUGAAUUAGUGGCAAUUAUGUGGACACCGAACAGCCAAUUUUGGAGUGCAGAAUUGGCAGUGGACGGUGCGGCUAACGCUUGGUCAAGUUGUCGAGGUGUCAAGGUGGGAAAACUGCCGGUACAUUCUGAUACGUCAGCAAGUGCCAGGAGUUUGAAUCCACUUAGAAGCCCGUAACAGCGUACCUGCUAAACGAGCUGGCCCUGGAAAUGGAUGUCUCUUUAGCAGCACUCCAUGACCUGGCCCUUAUCAUUGCAAGCUCGUCAAUAUUGCGCGGCAAGAAGAUGUAGGCGUGGUGACUGUUGCGACGCCUUUGGCGAGAAACUGAUUGGCUUGGCCCCUUAACCAGGU